AAUAAUAAUUGAAUCCAAUAUGGUAUCAACCCUUUGAACAUAAAUAAAACACCUUUUAUUUAUCACCAUAUGAUUACACAUUAUUCAUUGUAUACUGUUUCAGCUAUCAACUUUAUUCUUGAAUUUAAAACAAUAGUUGUCCCAUGCUCCAAGCAUGUACACUAUGUUUUCUUAAACACUAGUCAUGCCACACACCAAGUAUGCAUACUAUGUUUGUCUAUGAUCUUUACUUUGUGAACUAGAUCAAUUGAACAUAACUUCAAUGAUUCUCUUUUCACACUCCCAAAUCCUUACUGCAAAUGCAAGAAUUCCAAAUUCAUGUCAUUUACUGAAAUCUGUUAGAUUCUAAACUUAUAUGCAUUGAUCCUCUUGUAAUGAUUAUGCACAAAUUCACAAAGACUUGGCAACAAUCAUUACAGAGUAUUCCAAAGGAGAUCAACUCCUUGGAAACAUCCUUCUUGCAUUAAGUUUCCUUAAUCUUACACAGAUUGAAAAUUCUAACUUUGAAACAUUUCCAGAUUCCAUUUUGACUAUCACUUCUGAACAAGAGUUGCCUCCUUACAGAUUAUGUCAAUAUGGUCCUUCCAGAAUUAAUACUAUACUUCCAACUAUCCUUGAGCAACCAAUCUUUGGUAAACCUUAGAUUGUCCUCAACAAUUGCUUAAUCAUUUUAGUCAUAUCAAUUUAUAGACCUUUUUCCCUUCUUCAUGCCCCAAGCAUUUGGAAAAACUUAGAAAGAGUGAAUAUAGUACAUNAACGGAUGAAUAUAGCACAUGUAAUCGAUCCUAUAUCCGAAGCAUAUGGGACACGAUUCAUGAUGUCUCACAUAAAGACUAAACCAGUCUUUUGCUAUAAUAUUUCCAUUUCUAUUUGCCAAGUUCUCAUAAUUCAGAUUAUGAAAAGGGAUGCCGUAAUCAUAAUCGAAUUUUAGAACGCAAAUAAUGAACCCAUAUAUAGAAUUUCCUUAUGUUGACCCAUCCCAACAUGAAAUUCAUAUAUAUUCUUGACUAAAUACGAUUAAGACCUCAAUCUAAGAUUUUAAAUUUGAGAUGAAAUAUAAUUUCCUCUUCCUUAAUUAUAGCAAAACUAUUUUUUCAACCCUCGCAACCUCACAAAUUGAAACUUUUGUUUUCUAUAAUUAACAUUGAUAACUUUUAAUACUUAUCAUAAUUAUCAUGCUCCCAC
rnacentral:lncRNA from 1 species